rnacentral:tRNA from 1 species
UGGCUAGUAGCUCAGCGGUAGAGCAAUCGGCUGUUAACCGAUCGGUCGCACGUUCGAAUCGUGCCUAGCCAGCCA